AGUGGCGGACGGGUGAGUAACACAUGGGUGACCUACCCCCCAGUGAGGGAUACCGGCGAGAAAUCGCCGACAAGACCGCAUAGGCUUUCGGAGAGCAAAGCUUCGCUGAGGGAUGGGCCUGUGGCCGAUUAGCUAGUUGGUGGGGUAAGAGCUCACCAAGGCGACGAUCGGUAGCUGGUCUGAGAGGACGAUCAGCCACACUGGGAUUGAGAACGGCCCAGACUCCUACGGGGGGCAGCAGUGAGGAAUUUUCGGCAAUGGGCGCAAGCCUGACCGAGCAACGCCGCGUGCAGGAAGACGCUUUUCGGAGUGUAAACUGCUUUUCUCGGGGAAGAGAGACGGUACCCGAGGAAGAAGCCCCGGCUAACUACGUGCCAGCAGCC
rnacentral:rRNA from 1 species